AGGGGACGAGAGAGGCAGACGGUAUUUUCGGGGUAGGGGUGAAAUCCUAUAAUCCCGGGAAGACCACCAGUGGCGAAGGCUGUCUGCUAGAACGCGCCCGACGGUGAGGGAUGAAAGCUGGGGGAGCGAACCGGAUUAGAUACCCGGGUAGUCCCAGCUGUAAACGAUGCAGACUAGGUGUUUGGACGGCCACGUGCCGUUCUAGUGCCGCAGGGAAGCUGUUAAGUCUGCCGCCUGGGGAGUACGAUCGCAAGAUUGAAACUUAAAGGAAUUGGCGGGGGAGCACCACAAGGGGUGAA
rnacentral:rRNA from 1 species